GAGGAGCCCGCGCCCGAUUAGCUUGUUGGUGAGGUAACGGCUCACCAAGGCUUCGAUCGGUAGCCGGCCUGAGAGGGCGGACGGCCACACUGGCACUGAGACACGGGCCAGACUCCUACGGGAGGCAGCAGUGGGGAAUUUUGGGCAAUGGGCGAAAGCCUGACCCAGCAACGCCGCGUGAAGGACGAAAUCCCUCCGGGAUGUAAACUUCGAAAGUCAGGAAAGAAAUCCUCGGGAUUAAUACUCCCGAGGGAUGACGGUACCUGACGUAAGCCCCGGCUAACUACGUGCCAGCAGCCGCGGUAAUACGUAGGGGGCAAGCGUUGUUCGGAAUUACUGGGCGUAAAGGGCGCGUAGGCGGCACGGCAAGUCGGGAGUGAAAGGCCUGGGCUCAACCCAGGAAUUGCUUUCGAGACUGCCGAGCUAGAGUGCGGAAGGGGCAUCUGGAAUUCCCAGUGUAGCGGUGAAAUGCGUAGAUAUUGGGAAG
rnacentral:rRNA from 1 species